CCUCCACGUGGAUCCUUGCACACCGCCCGUGCUGUCCUCUGUCCUCCACGUGGAUCCUUGCACACCACCUAUGCUGUCCCCUGUCCUCCACGUGGAUCCUUGCACACUGCCUGUGCUGUUCCCUGUCCUCCACGUGGAUCCUUGCACACCACCCGUGCUGUCCCCUGUCCUCCACGUGGAUCCUUGCACACCACCUGUGCUGUCCCCUGUCCUCCACGUGGAUCCUUGCACACCACCUGUGCUGUUUUCUGUCCUCCACGUGGAUCCUUGCACACCACCUGUGCUGUUCCCUGUCUUCCACGUGGAUCUUUGCACACCUCCUGUGCUGCUCCCUGGUGCCUUUUCAGGAAAAGUUGUCCCAGCAUGGAGCUGUUGGAGAUGGGGUCUGCAAGGCAAAAGUAGGGUGACAUGAGCUCAUUGGGUGGCCCAAAUCUAAUCCAAGUGAAGUGCUUAUAAGAAGAGGUGAUCAGUCCAGAGAGAUGGCUUAGUUGGUUAAGUAUUUGCCACACAAGAAUGAGGCCCAUGUGGGUUUGGUUCCCCAGCAUCCACAUUGGCCUGUCCUCCCAGCACUGGGGAGGUGGAGACAGGAGGAUCCUGGGGCUGGCUGGCUGGCCAGCUAAACGAGACUGAUUGGUGAGCUCCAGGCCAAUAAGAGACCCUUUCUCAACAAAUGAGGUGGGGGGUGAUGGAGAAGAACCUCUGGCUUCCACAUGCAUGUGCACACAUAUGCAUUUGUAGCCACACACACAUAUUCCCAAACACAUACAUACCAUAUGCCCACAUACAUACCAACAUACAUGCACACGUGCAUGCAUACUGCACACAAGAAGUGAUUAGAAGAGAUCCACAGAGGGCUGGCCCUACAAGGACCUUGGGAGAGAAUAUGUCUAUCAGCCCAAGAAGGCAGCUUUAUGAGAGGCAGGCCUUGCUGAGCCUUGACCUUGGAUUCUAGCCUCCAAGACGGUGAGAACGAAUGUACGUUACUUAAGCCCAGCAGCCAACGUCAUCACACACGUGGAUCCCGCCUCCUGCCACAGCCAUCUUUGUUUUUCCAUAUGACAUUCAUCACUGUCUGGCAUUCUGCUUGCGUGACCAGUCGCUCCAGGUUCCUGCCGCCCCUUCUCCCCCACAAUGACAGACUGACCCUCGAGCCAAAUAAGCCCUUCUUUCCUCAGUUGAUCUGGUCAAGAAUGGGGCCGCAGCAAUGAGAAAGUCACUAAGGCAGUGUGCCAACCGUCAUGGCCUAUACCAGUGGUCAUCAAGGCUGCUCUUGGUCGGGUGUUUCUGCCUGCAACAUGAAGCUGACCGCAGCUUUAAAAUUGGUACUAAGAAGUGGAGUUGAUGCCACCUGAUUAGGUGGCUUUUGCCCUUUUGGAACUGAUGUGUGGGAGAAAUGUGGAAGGAUUUGAAACCUUGGCCUAAGAGACGCCUUGCAGUGCUGUAAGUACAGCUUGAUGGUCUAUUCUGGUCAGAGUUGAAAGACCUGAAUGCAGUAAGAACUGUGGACUGUGAGGCUUGGCUUGUGAAGGUGAGGAAGAGCUUUGUCAGGACUGGGCUAGAAGCGGUUUGUGCGGAGGACGGCUGCAUCCUGCCUGCCUGCCCGUGUCCUGGGAACUGGUGCAGGGUUGCGCUGAGCACAAACGGACCUCUGUGAGCAGAGGCGCAUGGCACAGAAAUGAAAUCUUUGGGCCGAAAGUGCUGCCCAUUCAGCUGCAGUUGUUUGAGAGAUUACAGCCUUUGAGAUUGGGCCAGCAGACCUGCAUUGGGACAACAGAAAGAAUGGAGACUCUCUGGAAGGGGCCUGAAGGCUGAACGAGUGUCCUGUUCUUCAAAGUUGGCUUUAUUCUCCCCUGGAUUAACAAAUUGGUAGCCCGCCCAGUACUAUGGAGUAUAACAAAUGUAGAAAAGAGAGAGUCAUUUUAUUGGCAUCACAGUUUUGGAUUUUGGAAAUGGCCAUGGGCAGUGUGAAGCAGGCUUGUUGGAUUACCUGCGUACGGAGAUAUGGAGCCAUGAGGAUGAACCGUGGGUUGCUGUAGAGACCCCAUGGAGAUGCUAGGACUAUAGGAUGGCUGCCAAGGAGAGCUGCCGACACAGGAUGACGUUUUCCUCGGCUGUGAAUAGCCUACCUAGAGGGGCAGAACUGCAACUCCAGAAGCUUGUCACUGGUUAGAAUUAUCAGACUUGGAGACACAUCACUGGUUAGCGUUAUGGGACUUUGAAUUACAGAAUUUGAUAUUUUCCCUGUUUCUUUUAAGCUUGUAUUGGUUUGAUUUUUUUUU